rnacentral:misc_RNA from 1 species
GCGUCAGAUGUGUAUAAGAGACAGGUGAAUCAUCGAAUCUUUGAACGCACCUUGCGCCCUUUGGUAUUCCGAAGGGCAUGCCUGUUUGAGUGUCAUAUAAACCUCACCUCCACUGUUUUUCAUUAGACAUGUGGAUCGGUGCUUUGGGUGUCUGCCGUUUACUCUGGCUCGCCUUAAAUGUCUAAGUGGAAUGCGUCAUAAGUUCUUUCGCAAUCCUCCACUCUAAUCUACAACCUUUAUAUUCUGACCUCAAAUCAGGUAGGACUACCCGCUGAACUUAAGCAUAUCAAUAAGCGGAGG